rnacentral:rRNA from 1 species
GACGAACGCUGGCGGCGUGCCUAAUACAUGCAAGUUGAGCGAUGAAGAUUGGUGCUUGCACCACUUUGAAGAGCAGCGAACGGGUGAGUAACGCGUGGGGAAUCUGCCUUUGAGCGGGGGACAACAUUUGGAAACGAAUGCUAAUACCGCAUAACAACUUUAAACAUAAGUUUUAAGUUUGAAAGAUGCAAUUGCAUCACUCAAAGAUGAUCCCGCGUUGUAUUAGCUAGUUGGUGAGGUAAAGGCUCACCAAGGCGAUGAUACAUAGCCGACCUGAGAGGGGGGUCGGCCAAAUUGGGACUGGAACACGGCCCAAACUCCUACGGGAGGCAGCAGUAGGGAAUCUUCGGCAAUGGACGAAAGUCUGACCGAGCAACGCCGCGGGAGUGAAGAAGGUUUUCGGAUCGUAAAACUCUGUUGGUAGAGAAGAACGUUGGUGAGAGUGGAAAGCUCAUCAAGUGACGGUAACUACCCAGAAAGGGACGGCUAACUACGUG